GAGAAAAUCAGUUGUCUGUAGAAUUGGAUCUUAAGAUAGACUCAAUCUCCCACCUUGCCAACUGCCUAUCUGAUCUCUUCUUGAUGGCUUAGUCUACCAUUUUGUGCUGAGAUCUGCAUAAAUGAAACUUAAGCAACUGCAAUUGAAUUCCCUGGUAGUUAAAACUUCUGUCUACUUCACUCACUUCAAAGUCACCUUGAACAUAGGUAAAUGGGGGGGAGGGGUUGGCCAUACGAAUCUUCAUAAGUAGUGGUUUGGUUGGAAGUAUGGAAGGCAGUAUUAUAUCAUCAUUCUGCAAAUAUAGUGCCCAAUCUGAAGGUGAGUCAGAGCAAGAACACUUUAUGUAGGUCUCCAAACACGUGUUAAUAACCUCAGUCUAGCCAUCAGACUAGAGUGAUAUGUAAGUGGAUGUGUUUCAGGGUAACUUCUUGUAAUGAAUAGUUCUUGACAUAGUUUACAAGUGAAAUUGGAGUCCUAUCACUUACAAUAUCCUCAGGCAUCCCAUGAAGUUUGAAGAUAUGCUCCAUAAAUACCGUGGUAAUAUCCACAUCAAGCAGAAUAAGGGUGUGACAGCGCUAGGAAGUGGGCAUAUUUAGUUAGUGUAUCCAUCACUGCUGUUUCCAGCUGAUUUUGGAGCACAGAAAAGUUAGCCAUGUCAAUUGCCAUUCAAUCUAACCGAUUCAACACCUUCUUCAUCUCGGUAGCCAUGGAUCAAUACUCAUUGAGCAGGAAACUGCUAUGAUACCACUGAUGUAAACUUGAACAAGAAGACUGAAUUAAGCUAAAGAUAGAAGGAAAAAAAUCUAGGAAGCUAAGUACCAUCUCGUUUCAUAAGCUCAAAUGCUCACAAUCCUCAUAUACUUCAGACUGUAUAGUAAUAAUGUCCAUUCAGUUCAUUGAUACGAGUAUACGACAUGCUUAACAUUUGCUAUUUACAUUGCCUUGGUACAUCCCAUAACGAAAUAAACAUAAUGAUGACACCAAAUGACAAGACAAAAUUGAAAAAACCAAAAAGCAGAAAAGCCAUCAAAAGAGAAUCGAACUAAACCAAACAUAUUUUAGUUCGGGUAGAUCUUCGAGAUGGUUUUUUUUAUUUUUAUUUUUAUUUUUUUAUUUUUUAUGUGAAUGGUAACAAUCAAAAACGAAAUAAUUGAAUCACACAAUAUAAACCCAAAACGAAUAACUAAAGAUACAUGCUUGGUUUCAAAGAGGGGAGGGGGCCGGGGUAAUAGGAACUUGAACUAUUACUUUUGGAUAGGUAUAUACCAAAUGUUUGAUCCCAACAUGUUUCAGAUUGAGGCUUAGUUGUUGUUGUUCUAGUAUGUACCUGGUGUUCCUUAUGAGAAAGUGUGGAUAUUGAUUGUUAUUCUAGUGGCUUCAAAUUAUCCUCCCCGCCACUCUGAAGUAGUUGGUGGAACUUCAUUCGAUUGACAUCAGUUUCUUUUAAGCCCGUAUCUUCUAAGUUAUAACAUUAACUAUCCCAAAUAGCUGUAGCCUUCAUAAAGUGUAUCCCUUCUACGUAAGCAUCCAUUUAACCAUUUCAAAUAGCCUAAUCUAUCUUAAAGUUUACUUGUUCUAGCUAAGUAUCCAUUUUGUGUGCUGUUCUCUAACUUGCAAUUCAUGAAUAAUAUUUUUUUACGUGUCAAAUAAUUCUCCCUGGGCGUUGUGAGAUAGUCGGAGAAACUGCCGACUUUUGAUGAUCGGUCUCUUUGUUAUUUAGAAUCACCCGUACUUUCUCAUUUACAAUUUCGAAUGUCCUAAUGUAAUGUUAUGACUAUCCUUUUGCUUAAUUUUACAUAUUGAGUGCUGUUCUGCUCACUUACUAUUCAUGAUGAACAAUUUCCUGCCUGUUAAAUACGCUUUCAGGUGCUGUUAAAUAGGUAAAGGGACUUCAGAUGAUUGACGAUUAGUUUUCUAUUUUCCUGUCCCCCCCACCCACGCACACACUAA